AGGUGAAUGAAUACCCAGUCGAUG
rnacentral:miRNA from 1 species